GACCAGACUCCUACGGGAGGCAGCAGUGGGGAAUAUUGCACAAUGGGGGAAACCCCGAUGCAGCGACGCCGCGUGAGCGAUGAAGUAUUUCGGUAUGUAAAGCUCUAUCAGCAGGGAAGAAAAUGACGGUACCUGACUAAGAAGCCCCGGCUAACUACGUGCCAGCAGCCGCGGUAAUACGUAGGGGGCAAGCGUUAUCCGGAUUUACUGGGUGUAAAGGGAGCGUAGACGGCAAUGCAAGCCAGAUGUGAAAGCCCGGGGCUCAACCCCGGGACUGCAUUUGGAACUGUGUAGCUGGAGUGUCGGAGAGGCAGGCGGAAUUCCUAGUGUAGCGGUGAAAUGCGUAGAUAUUAGGAGGAACACCAGUGGCGAAGGCGGCCUGCUGGACGAUGACUGACGUUGAGGCUCGAAAGCGUGGGGAGCAAACAGGAUUAGAUACCCGUGUAA
rnacentral:rRNA from 1 species